UACGAAGGGUGCAAGCGUUAAUCGGAAUUACUGGGCGUAAAGAGUGCGUAGGCGGUUCGUUAUGUCUGCUGUGAAAGCCCCGGGCUUAACCCGGGAAUGGCAGUGGAAACUGGCGGGCUUGAGUGUGGCAGAGGGGGGUGGAAUUCCGCGUGUAGCAGUGAAAUGCGUAGAGAUGCGGAGGAACACCGAUGGCGAAGGCAGCCCCCUGGGCUAACACUGACGCUGAGGCACGAAAGCGUGGGGAGCAAACAGG
rnacentral:rRNA from 1 species